rfam:Brugia malayi, FR3, WGS project CAPY01000000 data, contig: ctg1435086m
CCAGCCAUAGCUCAGUUGGUAGAGCGGAGGACUGUAGAGUGCAGCGUGGUGAUCCUUAGGUCGCUGGUUCGAAUCCGGCUGGCUGGA